rnacentral:lncRNA from 1 species
CAGGAAACUGCCUUCCUAGAUUUUACCUCACUGCCUCUAGUUGCAGUUACUUCAGGUUCUCAGGUGAAGCGCCAAGUAUGUCACUGAAAGCCCAGUGGAGUUAAGUGUGCAAAGUCAGUCUGAACAUAUGCUGUAAUGGAUUUGACCUCGAAUAGCACUACAAAGAGAAAUUGCAGAUAACCAUCUGAACUGACUUCUGAAGCUUGUAGUUCUGGCUCCUGAGAUACAGAGAGAAAAGUGAGACCAAACAGGUGGGAGCAAACAACUCAGAGAGACCAGAAUGAAUACGAGUCUAACUUUAAAA